rnacentral:rRNA from 1 species
CCUACGGGUGGCAGCAGUGGGGAAUAUUGGACAAUGGGCGAAAGCCUGAUCCAGCCAUGCCGCGUGUGUGAAGAAGGCCUUCGGGUUGUAAAGCACUUUCAGUGGGGAAGAAAGCCUUGGGGCUAAUACCCUCGAGGAAGGACAUCACCCACAGAAGAAGCACCGGCUAACUCCGUGCCAGCAGCCGCGGUAAUACGGAGGGUGCGAGCGUUAAUCGGAAUUACUGGGCGUAAAGCGCGCGUAGGCGGUCUGAUAAGCCGGUUGUGAAAGCCCCGGGCUCAACCUGGGAACGGCAUCCGGAACUGUCAGGCUAGAGUGCAGAAGAGGAAGGUAGAAUUCCCGGUGUAGCGGUGAAAUGCGUAGAGAUCGGGAGGAAUACCAGUGGCGAAGGCGGCCUUCUGGACUGACACUGACGCUGAGGUGCGAAAGCGUGGGUAGCAAACAGGAUUAGAUACCCUAGUAGUC